rfam:Triticum aestivum genome assembly, contig: Triticum_aestivum_CS42_TGACv1_scaffold_320552_4BL
GAAACUUUUGACUCAAGUCAAACGGUGCAAAGUUUGACCAAGUUUGUAGGAAAAACUGCCAGCAACUGCAGCACCAAAUUAAUUAGUAUUGUUAAAUCCAUAAUAAAAUAUAGUUUAUAUUAUCUCUAUUUUCUGUUUAGUCUUGUAGUUGCUGGUAGUUUUUCCUAUAAACUUAAUCAAACUUUGCGCCGUUUGACUUGAGCAAAAAGUUACA